rnacentral:tRNA from 1 species
AGCGCAGCGGCGACAAGUUUCUGUCUGUGGAACAGGAGGUCGGUGGUUCGAGCCCACCCAACUGUACCA